rnacentral:rRNA from 1 species
UACGUAGGUGGCAAGCGUUGUCCGGAUUUACUGGGCGUAAAGAGCGCGCAGGCGGUCGUUCAAGUCGCGUGUGAAAGCCCCCGGCUCAACUGGGGAGGGUCACGCGAUACUGAUCGACUGGAAGGCAGGAGAGGGUAGUGGAAUUCCCGGUGUAGUGGUGAAAUGCGUAGAUAUCGGGAGGAACACCAGUGGCGAAGGCGACUACCUGGCCUGUUCUUGACGCUAAGGCGCGAAAGCCAGGGGAGCAAACGGG